rnacentral:lncRNA from 1 species
UGCAUUUUCCUCAUACGAAUUCGACUAGAAGAUUCUCAAGGGUCAUCCUGGCCAGCGCCGAGCUGCCGGAGCGGGACCUGGUGUGCGGCUCCCGGUCGGAGUCCGAAGCCGAGUCCGAGAUGGCCGUAACCCAGCCGGACACGGAGGAGAGCCACAGUCCCUUUGAGGCUGCCAUUUCGAACCUCACAGAGUAUGACUUCAUCUUAGAAUGGCAGAGUGGUGAGCUGAAAAGAGCCCGAAUCCCUGAGGAUUCCUAACUUCACACUUUUAUGUAAGAUAGAAAUAAAUUUCGCUGUAUGCCAUUUUUUUUCA